UAGGGAAUCUUCCGCAAUGGGCGAAAGCCUGACGGAGCAACGCCGCGUGAGUGAUGAAGGUCUUCGGAUCGUAAAACUCUGUUAUUAGGGAAGAACAUAUGUGUAAGUAACUGUGCACAUCUUGACGGUACCUAAUCAGAAAGCCACGGCUAACUACGUGCCAGCAGCCGCGGUAAUACGUAGGUGGCAAGCGUUAUCCGGAAUUAUUGGGCGUAAAGCGCGCGUAGGCGGUUUUUUAAGUCUGAUGUGAAAGCCCACGGCUCAACCGUGGAGGGUCAUUGGAAACUGGAAAACUUGAGUGCAGAAGAGGAAAGUGGAAUUCCAUGUGUAGCGGUGAAAUGCGCAGAGAUAUGGAGGAACACCAGUGGCGAAGGCGACUUUCUGGUCUGUAACUGACGCUGAUGUGCGAAAGCGUGGGGAUCAAACAGGACUAGAUACCCUGGUAGUCCACGCCGUAAACGAUGAGUGCUAAGUGUUAGGGGGUUUCCGCCCCUUAGUGCUGCAGCUAACGCAUUAAGCACUCCGCCUGGGGAGUACGACCGCAAGGUUG
rnacentral:rRNA from 1 species